rnacentral:lncRNA from 1 species
UUUGAAAGAUGCCAGUUAUUUGAUGUUAUAUACCCCUUAUCCUCGGUUUGUACUGUUACAGUGUUUCAAUUUGCUUUGCCACAUGGAAUGGUUCUUUCUUUCCUCUUUUUGUGAGGGAGCCUGCAGCCAUGCUGUGCAAGUGGUUUCUGAGGGCAACUUCCUACAUGGAGUUCCCCUUCUUCCAUGUGGGUUCUGGGGGUGAACUUGGGUUCACCAUGCAGCAGGUGCCCUCCCUUCCUGCUGAGCCACUUUGCCAGCCCCCACAUGACUUCUUAAAUAUCUGUCUGUUUUUAUGUAAGUGUUCUGCCUACAUCUCUCUGUCACACAUGUGGAGUACCAGCAAAGACCAGAAGAGGCCAUUAGAUUCCCUAGAACUGGAGUUACACGUGGUUGUGAGGCAUCUGUGGGUGCUGGAAAGUGAACUUGUGACUUCUGGAAAUGCAGCCAUUGCUCUUAGCUACUCUCCAUACUCUCCUGCCACCUUUCCCCACCCCCAUGGCCUCUUGAUGUCUAGCUUGAAUUUAGGGAUCUUUCUUUUCUUGAAUUACAUAAAAUUCUCAGGGCACAUUAUAUGUCCUUCUGUUACUUAUUUUGUUCUCGGCUUUUUAACACAGGGUUUCUCUCUGUAUCCCUGGCUGUCCUGGCCCUCACACUGUAGACCAGGCAGGCCUUGAACUCAAGACACCCGCCUGCCUCUGCCUCCUGAGUGUUGGGAUUAAAGGCAUAUGCCACCACUGCCCAGCAUGCUUCUGUUAA